rnacentral:rRNA from 1 species
GACAGAGGGUGCAAACGUUGUUCGGAAUUACUGGGCGUAAAGCGCGUGUAGGCUGCUCCGCAAGUCGGAUGUGAAAGCCCUGGGCUCAACCUAGGAAGUGCAUUCGAUACUGCGGAGCUGGAGUCCUGAAGAGGAAGGCGGAAUUCUCGGUGUAGAGGUGAAAUUCGUAGAUAUCGAGAGGAACACCGGUGGCGAAGGCGGCCUUCUGGACAGUGACUGACGCUGAGACGCGAAAGCGUGGGGAGCAAACAGG